ACUGCCUUCAUAACCUUCCUCAAGUCUCAGCUUCCUCACCUGUAACCAACAAAUGCCAUUGCUCAGACCUCUGGGAACCUUCGUGAAGAGUCAAGAGUUAAGCACCUGCAGGCCUUAUUUAGCACAAUGCCUGCCCUAGACGAAGCACUCAAUAGGUGUUUCUUGCUGGAGCCAUUCCUUCUGAUACCCCUUCUUCCCAAAAGGACCACGCUCCACCGCGUCUUCUCCCAGCCCUGUCUUCUGCCCUCUGCUCCCUGACAACUCUAACCAGAUCUGACUGUCCUGGUUUUCUGACCCUUGGGACUGCUCUGACUGCCCUCCUCACCAGCCAAAUCCCGCCUGUCUCCAGAAAUGAGUGAACAGUCACCCUGCUCUUCCUUCCCUGAC
rnacentral:lncRNA from 1 species